UACGAAGGGUGCUAGCGUUGUUCGGAUUCAUUGGGCGUAAAGGGUGCGUAGGUGGCGGGGUAAGUCAGGUGUGAAAUCUCGGGGCUCAACCCCGAAACUGCACUUGAUACUGCCUUGCUCGAGUACUGGAGAGGAGAUUGGAAUUUACGGUGUAGCGGUGAAAUGCGUAGAUAUCGUAAGGAAGACCAGUGGCGAAGGCGAAUCUCUGGACAGUUACUGACACUGAGGCACGAAGGCCAGGGGAGCAAACGGG
rnacentral:rRNA from 1 species